rnacentral:lncRNA from 1 species
AAUUGUUCCUUGGAUUAUAGUCUAUAUAUCAAAUGUUUGAACACAAUUAUAGUACCCGAUUAAUUAUCUAACUGUUUUCCUUUCUUUAAUUUUCAAUAAAAUAUGUUAGAAUACAGUAGCUAUUUUGUCGUCGGGUCUCUUUUCAUUGGGGAUCUAAAUUCUAGUAAUAGUAUUUGAGUGGUAACAGUAAUUUAUUUUUCUGACGAUCAUAAAGUAGGAAUUUUUGGUAUAAAUAUUAUCGCGGCGAGCAUUUAUCUGGAUAGCUCUACGUUUCUUUUGCUUCUUCUUGUUGAUCAUAUGUCAAUUGCCUAACUCGUGAAGAAUGUGAAUAUUUUAGGUAGUUUUACUAGCAUAAUCUUUGCAAUAAUAUGUCCUGUUGUUUCCUUUUAAUUUUGUUUCAGUUACGCUAUAGUGAAGAAUAUUCAUGCCAUCUACUUUGUGAUUCCUAAUGCUGCCAUCUUGAUUAAAUUUGUAGGCUUGGGGGAAACUAAGUGCUAAAAAUUUACAUUCAGAAUCAUGUCCAAUUGUCUUCUAUCUUACCAGAACUUGAAACUGUCUUUACAUUGGUUGGUUGGAGUUCUGAUGAUCCUUGCUGUUUUCGAGUAGUGCUCAACUGAAUAUGCAUU